AUUUGACGUUAGCUGCAGAAGAAGCACCGGCUAACUCCGUGCCAGCAGCCGCGGUAAUACGGAGGGUGCGAGCGUUAAUCGGAAUUACUGGGCGUAAAGCGCAUGCAGGUGGUUUGUUAAGUCAGAUGUGAAAGCCCGGGGCUCAACCUCGGAAUUGCAUUUGAAACUGGCAAACUAGAGUACUGUAGAGGGGGUAGAAUUUCAGGUGUAGCGGUAGAAAUGCGUAGAGAUCUGAAGGAAUACCGGUGGCGAAGGCGGCCCCCCUGGACAGAUACUGACACUCAGAUGACGAAAGCGUGGGGAGCAAACAGGAUUAGAUACCCUGGUAG
rnacentral:rRNA from 1 species